rnacentral:rRNA from 1 species
GAUGAACGCUGGCGGCGUGCUUAACACAUGCAAGUCGAACGAUGAACCGGGUGCUUGCACUCGGGGAUUAGUGGCGAACGGGUGAGUAACACGUGAGCAACCUGCCCCUGACUCUGGGAUAAGCGCUGGAAACGGCGUCUAAUACUGGAUAUGUCCCGUCACCGCAUGGUGUGCGGGUGGAAAGAUUUUUCGGUUGGGGAUGGGCUCGCGGCCUAUCAGCUUGUUGGUGAGGUAAUGGCUCACCAAGGCGUCGACGGGUAGCCGGCCUGAGAGGGUGACCGGCCACACUGGGACUGAGACACGGCCCAGACUCCUACGGGAGGCAGCAGUGGGGAAUAUUGCACAACGGGCGGAAGCCUGAUGCAGCAACGCCGCGUGAGGGAUGACGGCCUUCGGGUUGUAAACCUCUUUUAGCAGGGAAGAAGCGAGAGUGACGGUACCUGCAGAAAAAGCACCGGCUAACUACGUGUCAGCCGCCGCGGUAA